UACAGAGGGUGCAAGCGUUAAUCGGAAUUACUGGGCGUAAAGCGCGCGUAGGCGGCUGUCUAAGUCGGAUGUGAAAUCCCCGGGCUUAACCUGGGAACUGCAUCAAAACUGACGAGCUAGAGUAUGGUAGAGGGUGGUGGAAUUUCCUGUGUAGCGGUGAAAUGCGUAGAGAUCCGGAGGAACACCAAAGGCGAAGGCAGUGUCUGGGGAGUACCUGACGCUCGAGGUGCGAAAGC
rnacentral:rRNA from 1 species